rnacentral:lncRNA from 1 species
ACAAUUGUUAUGCCAAUGUUGGAAUUGCCAAUCUCGGUUCUCAACGUCUCGUAGAAGGUGAUCAAUGCUGCCUUGCUUGCCUGAACCACAAAAUAUUUACGUUUGUAUGGUGAUGUUGGAUGAUACGGAUUGAUUGGUCAGAUUGAGAAUAAAUUAAAGUAUUAGUUCGGAGAUUGGUUCGACUUAUGAUUCAAUUUUGAAAAAGAAGAAAUGUUGGGUUAAAUAGAGAAAAUGACAAAAAAAAAAAAUGGCUUACAUUGUAAAAACUGAAGCGCGGGAAAGGAUACCAUCCAACGGAGGAAGCCAUGACAAUGAUCUUCCCUUUAGUUUUUCUUAGGUGUGGAAUGGCGUAAUAUGUGCCAAAAGCCACUCCCCACAAGUUCACGUCCUACACCGUAUGGAAAAUGUAUACAUUUAAAUUUUUAUGUAUAUAUUGCGUAUUUAAGAUUUUAUAUAUUUUUUUAAUUUUUAUAUAAUAAAAAAUAAAUUUAAUAUUUAAAAUUUUAAUUAAGUCUUAAUUCAAUUACAUUGUGUACAAAGACGUCAAUUUAAGCGUGCUUAAGCACAUAUUAUUUUUCGAUUCAAAGUUUAAAGAUUAUGAGUUUAGAUUUAAAUAUAUUAGAGUCUUAAAUAUAAAAUUUAAUCCAUGUAGUUCACUCUUGACAUUCAAUCCCCUAUAUUUUUAUUUAUAAAAUCUCAUAAUAAGUCUUUUUUGGCUUUAUAUUUUUUUUGUUGAUCAUUAUUCUUUAAAAUUUAUAAAAAAAUAAAAAAUCCUAAAAAAAUUUAAAAAUAAUAAAAAUUUUGAAAUUUAUGGAAAAAAAACGUAUCAAUUAUAAAUAACAUAAAGUUCCAAAAGUUCAAAAAGAGUAUAUUAUCUACUUUUUUAAAUUUAAAAAAUUAUUUUUUAAUAUAACUUCAAAAUUAUAUUAAAAUCUAAUUUAAUAUUAAUCAAACGAAUAGCUCUUGAAAAGACUUUAUUACCAUAAAGAACACAUUUUUCCAAAAUUUGAAAUUAUAUAUAUAUUUCUUGAAUUUUAAUAUAUGUUUUCAAAAAUAAUAUAUCUUUAAAGAAAAGUAGGAUUUUUAUAGAAAAUAUAAGAAAUUUAUAAAUUUUUAUGCCCUUGUAAAAAAUAAAAACAAAAUUAGCAAAAACUAUAUGCAUUCUAUUACCUUUUUCGUAAUUGUAAAAUUAGUGAGAAAAUCAUGAUUUUAAAACCUACAUUUAAAUGAAGAAGUAUAGAGAAUUAAUGUGUAUAGAAAUUAAAUUUUAAAAUUUGAAAGAAUAUAUGGAACUCUGUUAUAUUUAAACCUAUAUCGAAUGUCAGUAAAUCGAAUAGGCAAGAGUCAUAACUCCCUAAAAUAAGAAAAUUCUAAAAUUUAUAAAAUUAUAAGUACAAUUAUAGUCUACCCCCAAAGAAUUAUAAAAUUUUGAUUUAAUCAUUUUAAAAACUAUAAAGAUACAAAGACAACUUAAGCCUCUUUAAUCUCAACCCCUCCCUAAAAAGAUUUUUUAACUUACCCUAAACAAAAUGAUGACGAGUCACUAAAUAUGAAGUUGAGUGUACUUAUUUUUAAAACUUUUUGAUAAUUAUAAUUUGAUCCACUGUACUAUAGGUUUAAAAUGUAAAUUGAGAAGGAAUUAAAAGAAGUAAUAUAUCUUACCAGAAGAUAAGAGAAGUCAGAAAAGUUUUGGAUUUCCUCAAACAAUUUUACUCUUGCAAGGCCAGCAUUAUUAACCAAGUGAUCCACUGUUCCAUGCAUGUUUCAAAUUUCAAUUAUAAAAUAAUCAAGAACCAAACAAAUUAACAAAAGGGACAAAGGUCGAAUUAUGAUUUUAGUCCUUUAAUAUGACAAAAUUUAAUAUUUAAUCCAUAUUCUUUAAUUUCACAUAUUUCAAUCCUCUUACUUUUAGUAAAAAAAUUCCACUGUUUUGUUAUAUUAGUUCUAUGACCUGACAUAUUUGAAGACUAAAUCCAAAAAAAAAAACCAUAGAGGACCUUACACUAGGAGUUAAAUUGUAUUUUAUCUCUUUCCUAAUUUUAUCUUUUACUAAAAAAUUAGGUAAAUUAAUCUUUAUACAUUAAAUUAAAAAGCAAAUAAUUAGUCCUUUCCUUUAAAAUUUUUAUCUAUUUGUAUAGUUACAAACUUAAAAACGGAUCAGACAAUGACAUGUGACGUACCACGUAUACUUCAUAUUGCUAUAUAAAGAUAAGUUUAUAAUAAAAACAUCAAUUUGCUCUUUCACUUAAUGGUAUUUUUAUGGACUAAAUCCCAGAUCUGAGAGGAACUAAAAUAAAAAUUUGACAAAAAAAAAAAAAAAGUGUAAAGAUUUAACAUACAUCGACGAAAAUGCUUGAUUGCUUCAUCAACAAAUCUCUUGCAAUCUUCUUCCUUGGAAACAUCAGCUGUAAUGGCAAUAACAUCUGAAGAUCCAAAGCUUCUAACAUUUUCCACAACCCUUCCUAGAAGAUCCCCUCUUACGUCCACC